rnacentral:rRNA from 1 species
GGUGAACGCUGGCGGCGUGCUUAAGACAUGCAAGUCGAACGGGCUCUUCGGAGCCAGUGGCGCACGGGUGAGUAACGCGUAACUGACCUACCCCAAAGUCGCGGAUAACGAUUCGAAAGAAUCGCUAAUACGUGAUGUUCUGUCAGAUCCUGUUCUGCCAGUAAAGAUUUAUUGCUUUGGGAUGGGGUUGCGUUCCAUCAGCUAGUUGGUGGGGUAAAGUCCCACUAAGGCGACGACGGAUCGCCGGCCUGAGAGGGUGGCCGGCCACAGGGGCACUGAGACACGGGUCACACUCCUACGGGAGGCAGCAGUUAGGAAUCUUCCACAAUGGGCGAAAGCCUGAUGGAGCGACGCCGCGUGAGGGAUGAAGGUCUUCGGAUCGUAAACCGCUGAAUCAGGGACGAAAGACGCGAAAGCGGGAUGACGGAACCUGAGUAAUAGCACCGGCUAACUCCGUG